rnacentral:rRNA from 1 species
GAUGAACGCUAGCUACAGGCUUAACACAUGCAAGUCGCGGGGUAACAUCUGGUAGAGCUUGCUCUUCCAGGAUGACGACCGGCGCACGGGUGAGUAACGCGUAUCCAACCUGGCCCAUACCACGGGAUAGCCCGUCGGAAGGCGGAUUAAUACCGUAUGCUGUCAUUAAGAUGCAUAUAUUGAUGACGAAAGGACUGGCGGUAUGGGAUGGGGAUGCGUCUGAUUAGCUUGUUGGCGGGGUAACGGCCCACCAAGGCGACGAUCAGUAGGGGUUCUGAGAGGAAGGUCCCCCACAUUGGAACUGAGACACGGUCCAAACUCCUACGGGAGGCAGCAGUGAGGAAUAUUGGUCAAUGGGACGGGAGUCUGACCAGCCAAGUAGCGUGCAGGAUGACGGCCCUAUGGGUUGUAAACUGCUUUUGUG